UAGCGGCGGACGGGUGAGUAAUGUAUAGGGAGCUGCCCGACAGAGGGGGAUACCAGUUGGAAACGACUGUUAAUACCGCAUAACGUCUACGGACCAAAGUAUGGGACCUUCGGGCCAUAUGCUGUCGGAUGCACCUAUAUGGGAUUAGCUAGUUGGUGGGGUAAUGGCUCACCAAGGCGACGAUCCCUAGCUGGUUUGAGAGGAUGAUCAGCCACACUGGAACUGAGACACGGUCCAGACUCCUACGGGAGGCAGCAGUGGGGAAUAUUAGACAAUGGGCGUAAGCCUGAUCCAGCCAUGCCGCGUGUGUGAAGAAGGCCUUCGGGUUGUAAAGCACUUUCAGCGGGGAGGAAGGGGUUGUUGUUAAUAGCAACAAUCUUUGACGUUACCCGCAGAAGAAGCACCGGCUAACUCCGUGCCAGCAGCCGCGGUAAUACGGAGGGUGCAAGCGUUAAUCGGAAUUACUGGGCGUAAAGCGCACGUAGGCGGUAUGUUAAGUUGGAUGUGAAAGCCCCGGGCUCAACCUGGGAAUUGCAUUCAAAACUGGCAUGCUAGAGUAUGUGAGAGGGGGGUAGAAUUCCAAGUGUAGCGGUGAAAUGCGUAGAGAUUUGGAGGAAUACCAGUGGCGAAAGGCGGCCCCCUGGCACAAUACUGACGCUCAGUGCGAAAGCGUGGGGAGCAAACAGGAUUAGAUACCC
rnacentral:rRNA from 1 species